AAUGUCAAAUAAACAACAUUAAAUAAAAGAAAGUUGACACAGAGGACGACACAUGCCAGUCUGAAGGGGAAUUCCAAGGAAGACGAUUUGAUGACAAAGUCAGGUCAAAAGGCUAUCUGUACAAUUACGGUUGAAUACUGGUAAUGGGAAGUAUGUAACGAUUGGAAUCUUUUCAAAAAACUUCUGUUAGUCAGACCAAAUAAACAAUGCAUGGAUAGUUGGGCAGAAUUGAAACAAAUAACAUUAUCUAAUGGAUGGUGUUACAUAAACGAUGCCAAUGAUGUAAGAGUUAAAAGAAAAAAA